AUAAAAGAAUAAAAGAAUGAAUAGCAAAUUACCAAUAAUUCCAACAUCUGAACAUCAACCAUUUUCUUUUUUCUGGGGCCCCUUCGAGUGCAUCUUAAUAUAGAGCCUUAGGAAUUUAUCUUCUAGAAAACCCCUGUGGACAAAUACACAGAUCUCUAGAUGGGAAAUCAAACUAUAUUUUACAAUGACAUUGUAAUAAAAUUAGAAUGUUUUUAUUGAAAUGAAUAACCGAUUAUCAAUAAUUGUGACUAAAUAAGAACAUUUAUUCUUAUUUAACAGCUGAAAAUCGAUCCAAGAGAAUUUAGAGAAAAAAACAGUCCUUUGGCCAGCUUUACGGCAAAGCCAGUUAAUGGUGGCUGCUGUGAAGAAGUUAAGAACGAGAGUGUUGGAUGGGGAGGCUUCAUUUUUAUCAGACCUUUGCCUACAGGCGAAGAAAACUGAACGAGAGGAGUUGGAGAGGUUUGGCUCUAACUUUGCCCGGCUUAGCCUUUGCUAUGUCCACGCUUCCCUGCUUCUGACUCCAGACCUUGCCAGAAGCUGCAAAAAGGAGCCAACAUAACCCCAAAUCCUAAAUGCUUCUUACCAUUUCUCGUAACACUAUAGCCUCAGUAGGCAUGUGCUUUUGAUACAGGUUGGCUGGGUCCGAGGACCUAGAGAGAGAUCCACAGGACCAGCCAUGAGGUUCCCUUGGCUUCACGCAGGAUGGAAAUCAAACAUGAGCCUAGAGGAAGUGAGAGUAGGGUUGUUGUUUAUUUUUUUAAUGUUUAUUUACUUCUGAGAGAGAGAGAGAGACAGAGAGAGAGAGACAGAGAGAGAGACAGAGACAGAGCACGAGCGGGGGAGGAGCAGAGAGAGAGGGAGACACA